AAAAAAUAAAAAAUAAAAAUAAAAUGUAUAAGCAUAUAUUAGUUUAUAUCUUAAUCUCUUUUGAAUCUGUCAUUAUGACUCCUUUUCCCUUUCUAAUGUUACUAGUAUCUCUAUUUUUUCCUUGAACAGUCUUGCUGGAAGUUUGCCUAUUUUUAACUAGUCUUUUUAAGAACUGACUCUUGGUUUUGUUGAUUAUCUGUAUGUUUGUUUUCUAUUUCAUUAAUUUAUACUCUAUUUUUACUUCAUUUCUCCCAUUUCCUUUGGUUUACUCUGUUCUUAUUCUAACAUGAGUCUUAGCUCAUUAAUUUCUAGCCUUUCUUCUUUUUUAAUACUGCAUUUAAAACUAUAUAAUUCCGUUCAUGUUCUGCAUUCACUGAAUCCCUGUUUUUGUUGGGGUAUAAUUGACAUGCAACAUUAUAUUAGUUUUAGUUGUCCAACAUAACUAUUCAAUAUUUGUAUAUACAAUAAAUGAAAUGACUACCACAAUAAGCCUGUUUAACAUCUAUCGCCCCAUGAAUCCGUUUUCAUAUUUAACAUUUUCAUCAUCAUCCAGUUUAAGGUUUUUAAAUUUCUGUUUGGAUUUUUUUCUUCACCCAAGUUAUUUUGAAGUAUUUUAAAACUUCCAAAUAUGAGGAUUUUUUUUCAUUUUAUUUAUUUGCAUUGUAGUCAGAGAAUGUAUGAGACAGUCUCUGAACUUGGUUAAGAUUUGUUUCAUGCCCUCUGGUACAUGAUCAGUUUUUAUAAUGGUUCUCUGUGUGCUUGAAGAGAAUGUGUAUGCUGUAUUAGUGAGUGGCUGUGUAGUGUUUAUCUCCAUGAGGUCAAUCUUAUUUUAUUAUGUUAUUCAGUUUGUCUACAUUUCUGUUGAUUUUGGCUACUUGUUCUAUCAGUUACUGAAAGAGACGUUGAAAUUCUGCCACUGAUAAUUUGUCAAUUUCUUUGUGUACUUCUGUCAGUUUUUGCUUUAUGUUUAGAUAGUUUCUAUUGCAAAAAAUCUUUUUUGUCUUAAAGUUACUUUGUCUGAUGUUAACAGGUAUCCUAUCCUAUCUUUCCUUUGUUUAGUAUUUGCCUGGCUUACCUUUCACUAUCUUUCACUUUCAUCUUUUCUGUGUCCUUAAUGAGGUGUAUAACUUUUUUUUUUUAAGUUUAGUGUUUUCUUUAAUUCUAAUCUGAUGAUACAUCACUUAUACAAGGUAUGCUAUUUAUAUUUUUGUGAUUAUUGAUAUAUUCAUUUAUAAUUUUGGGGACUUUUUGUUCUGUCUCACUUUUUCUAGUUUCCUUUUUUCAUUGAUUACACUUUUAAAAUAAACUUUUAUUUUGGAAUAAUUUUAAAUUUACAGAAAAGUUGCAAAGACAAGACAGAGAUUUGCUAUUAUCCUUUAUCCAGCUUCCCCUAAUAUUAACAUCUUUUGUAAUCCUGGUACAUUUGUCAAAAGUAAGAAAUAACAUUGGUACAAUACUAUUAACUGCAGACUAUUCAGAUUUCCUCAGUUUUUCCACUAAUGUCCUUUUUCUGUUCCAGGAUCCAAUCCAGGAAUCCAGAUUGCAUUUAGUCUCUUUUUAAAAAUAUAAACUUUCAUUUAAUACUUUGAAAAAGCUAUAAGAAGUUUGAGAAGGUCCUUCUAAUUAUUUAAUAAAUAAUUUUAAAGUUUUUCAAUCAUUUCUGGGAUACAAACAAAUUUAAUAAAUGUAAUAGACAAAUCUAUUUUAUAUCACCCACACUGAACAAAAGUUAAUACAUUACAGGUCCGUGAUUCCAUAUUUGCAAUUGUUAAAAAGUGUAUAUAUAUGUACAUAAAACCUUGAAAACCAAAAGUUUUUUCAUAGCUUAUCUAGUGAUAAAACUUUAUUUAUAAUCUUUGACUAUUUGUAGUUUUAAUGUGACUAUCUUACUGUUUAUGGAGUACACUGCAGCUGUAUCAAUGUUGGGUUACAGGUGCUACUCCAAAUCUCACUGAUAGUUGAUUACAUUAUUUUGUUGCUGUUUUUCUUAUUCCAUUUUUUUUCCCUCACUACUAGUUAUAGUUUCUAUUUCUAGUCUUACUGUGAUUAUAUAAAGCCCUAUUUUAAUCUUAAAAAUUAGAUAUCAAUUUUUGGAUAGAAUUUUUUUUUUUUUUGGUAAUUUUUUUAUAGAUUUCACUGUAGUGCAUCAAUUUAUUUGUUCCUUACUCCUCUUGCAUCUCAGAUCUUCUGACUGGGAUCAUUUCCUUCUUUCUAAAGUAUGGCCCUUGAAAGUUCAUUUAGUGUCAGUGUAUCAGUGGCAACUUUUCUCAGAUAUACUUAACCAAAAAUAUCUUUAUUUUGCCCUCAUUCUUGAAAGAUAGUUUUGCUGGAUAUACUCCUUUGUUGACAGGAAUUUUCUCCAAACAUUUUGAAGAUUUUGUUCCACCUAAUUCUGGCUUCAAUUGUUACUGUUAAGCCUCUACUGUUAAUCCAGUUGUCAUUCCAUUAUAGGUGACCUAUCUCCAACUGCAUUUUUUUGGGAAGUUUUAAAUUUUAUUUAUGUUUUUAUACAGCAGGUUCUUAUUAGUUAUCCAUUUUAUACAUAUUAGUGUAUAUAUGUCAAUCCCAUUAUCCCAAUUCAUCAUACAACCACCCCCCACCGGCCACUUUCCCCUCUUGGUGUCCAUACGUUGUUCUCUAUGUCUCUGUCUCUAUUUCUGCUCUGCAAACUAGUUCAUCUGUACCAUUUUUCUAGGUUCCACAUAUAUGCGUUAAUAUACAAUAUUUGUUUUUCUCUUUCUGACUUACCUCACUCUGUAUGACAGUCUCUACAUCCAUCCACAUCUCUACAAAUGACCCAGUUUCGUUCCUUUUUAUGGCUGAGUAAUAUUCCACUGUAUAUAUGUAUCACAUCUUCUCUAUCCAUUCAUCUAUCGAUGGGCAUUUAGGUUACUUCCAUGUCCCAGCUAUUGUAAACAGUGCUGCAGUGAACAUUGGGGUGCAUGUGUCUUUUUGAAUUAUGGUUUUCUCAGGAUAUAUGCCCAGUAGUGGGAUUGCUGGGUCAUAUGGUAAUUCUAUUUUUAGUUUUUUAAGGAACCUCCACACUGUUCUCCAUAGUGGCUGUAUCAAUUUACAUUCCCACCAACAGUGCAAGAGGGUUCCCUUUUCUCCGCAUCCUCUCCAGCAUUUGUUGUUUGUAGAUUUUCUGAUGAUGCCCAUUCAAACUGGUGUGAGGUGCUACCUCAUUGUAGUUUUGAUUUGCAUUUCUCUAAUAAUUAGUGAUGUUGAGCAGCUUUUCAUAUGCCUCUUGGCCAUCUGUAUGUCUGCUUCGGAGAAAUGUCUGCUUAGGUCUUCUGCCCAUUUUUUGAUUGGGUUGUUUGUUUUUUUAAUAUUAAGCUGCAUGAGCUGUUUAUAUAUUUUGGAGAUGAAUCCUUUGUCCAUUGAUUCAUUUGCAGAUAUUUUCUCCCAUUCUGUGGGUUGUCUUUUCAUCUUGUGUAUGGUUUCCUUUGCUGUGCAAAAGCUUUUAAGUUUCAUUAGGUCCCAUUUGUUUAUUUUUGUUUUUAUUUCCAUUACUCUAGGAGGUGGGAACAAAGGAGAUCUUGCUGUGAUUUAUGUCAAAGAGUGUUCUUCCUAUGUUUUCCUCUAAGAGUUUUAUACUGUCCGGUCUUACAUUUAGGUCUUUAAUCCAUUUUGAGUUUAUUUUUGUGUAUGGUGUUAGGGAGUGUUCUAAUUUCAUUCUUUUACAUGUAGCUGUCCAGUUUUCCCAGCACCACUUAUUGAAGAGACUGUCUUUUCUCCAUUGUAUAUCCUUGCCUCCUUUGUCAUAGAUUAGUUGACCAUAGGUGCAUGGGUUUAUCUCUGGGCUUUCUAUCUUGUUCCAUUCAUCUAUAUUUCUGUUUUUGUGCCAGUACCAUACUGUCUUGAUUACUGUAGCUUUGUAGUAUAGUCUGAAGUCAGGGAGCCUGAUUCUUCCAGCUCCGCUUUUUUCCCUCAAGACUGCUUUGGCUGUUCAGGAUCUUUUGUGUCUCCAUACAAACUUUAAGAUUUGUUUUUUUCUAGUUCUGUAAAACUGCCAUUGGUAAUUUGAUAGGGAUUGCAUUGAAUCUGUAGAUUGCUUUGGGUAGUACAGUCAUUUUCACAAUAUUGAUUCUUCUAAUCCAAGAACAUGGUAUAUCUCUCCAUCUGUUUGUAUCAUCUUUAAUUUCUUUCAUCAGUGUCUUAUAUCUGCAUACAGGUCUUUUGUCUCCCAAGUAGGUUUAUUCCUAGGUAUUUUAUUCUUUUUUUUGCAAUGGUGAAUGGGAGUGUUUCCUUAAUUUCUCUUUCAGAUUUUUCAUCAUUAGUGUAUAGGAACGCAAGAGAUUUCUGUGCAUUUAUUUUGUGUUCUGCACCUUUACCACAUUCAUUGAUUAGCUCUAAUAGUUUUCUGGUGGCAUCUUUAGGAUUCUCUACGUAUAGUAUCAUGUCAUCUGCAAACAGUGACAGUUUUACUUCUUCCUUUCCAAUUUUUAUUCCUUUUAUUUCUUUUUCUUUUCUGAUUGCCAUGGCUAGGACUUCCAAAACUAUGUUGAAUAAUAGUGGCGAGAGUGGACAUCCUUGUCUUGUUCCUGAUCUUAGAGGAAAUGCUUUCAGUUUAUCACCAUUGAGAAUGAUGUUUGCUGUGGGUUUGUUGUAUAUGGCCUUUAUUGUGUUGAGGUAGGCUCCCUCUAUGCCCACUUUCUGGAGAGUUUUUUCAUAAAUGGGUGUUGAAUUUUGUCCGGAGUUUUUCUGCAUCUAUUGAGAUGAUCAUAUGGUUUCUAUUCUUCAGUUUGUUAAUAUGGUGUAUCACAUUGAUUGGUUUGUAUAUAUUAAAGAAUCCUUCCAUCCCUGGGAUAAAUUCCACUUGAUCAUGGUGUAUGAUCCUUUCAAUAUAUUGUUAGAUUCUGUUUGCUAGUAUUUUGUUGAGGAUUUUUACAUCUAAAUUCAUCAAAGAUAUUGGUCUGUAAUUUUCUUUUUUUGUAGUAUCUUUGUCUGGUUUUCAUAUCAGGGUGAUGGUGGCCUCAUAGAAUGAGUUUGGGAGUGUUCCUUCCUCUGCAGUUUUUUGGAAGAGUUUCAGAAGGAUGGGUGUUAGCUCUUCUCUAAAUGUUUGAUAGAAUUCACCUGUGAAGCCAUCUGGUCCUGGACUUUUGUUUGUUGGAAGAUUUUUAAUCACAGUUUCAAUUUCAUUACUUGUGAUUGGUCUGUUCAUAUUUUCUAUUUCUUCCUGGUUCAAUCUUGGAAGGUUAUACCUUUCUAAGAAUUUGUCCAUUUCUUCCAGGUUGUCCAUUUUAUUGGCAUAGAGUUGCUUGUAGUAGUCUCUUAGAAUGCUUUGUAUUUCUGUGGUGUCUGUUCUAACUUCUCCUUUUGCAUUUCUAAUUUUAUUGAUUUGAGUCCUCUCCCUCUUUUUCUUGAUGAGUCUGGGUAAUCGUUUAUCAAUUUUGUUUUAUCUUCUCAAAGAACCAGCUUUUAGUCUUAUUGAUCUUUGCUAUUGUUUUCUUUGUUUCUAUUUCAUUUAUUUCUGCUCUGAUCUUUAUGAUUUCUCUCCUUCUACUAACUUUGGGUUUUGUUUGUUCUUCUUUCUCUAGUUUGUUUAGGUGUAAGUUUAGAUUGUUUAUUUGAAAUUUUUCUUCUUUCUUGAGGUAGGCUUGUAUUGCUAUAAACUUCCCUCUUAGAACUGCUUUUACUGCAUCCCAUAGGUUUUCGAUCAACGUAUUUUCAUUGUCAUUUGUCUCUAGGUAUUUUUUGAUUUCCUCUUUGAUUUCUUCCGUGAUCUCUUGGUCAUUUAGUAGUGUGUUGUUUAGCCUCCAUGUGUUUGCAUUUUUUACAGACUUUUUUCCUGUAAUUGAUAUCUAGUCUCAUAGCGUUGUGGUCGGAAAAGAUAUUUGAUAUGAUUUCAAUUUUCUUAAAUUUACCAGUGCUUGAUUUGUGACCAAGGAUAUGAUCUAACCUUUGAAAUAUUCCAUGAGGACUUGAGAAGAAAGUGUAAUCUGCUGUUUUUGGAUGGAAUGUCAAAUAUCAAUUAAAUCUAUCUGGUCUGUUGUGUCAUUUAAAGCUUGUGUUUCCUUAUUAAUUUUCUGUCAGGAUGAUCUGUCGAUUGGUGUAAGUGAGGUGUUAGAGUCCCUCACUAUUAUUGAGUUACUGUCAAUUUCCUCUUCUAUAGCUGUUAGCAGUUGCCUUAUGUAUCAAGGUGCUCCUAUGUUGGGUGCAUAUAUAUUUAUAAUUGUUAUAUCUUCCUCUUGGAUUGAUCCCUUGAUCAUUAUGUAGUGUCCUUCCUUGUCUCUUGUAACAUUCUUUAUUUUAAAGUCUUUUUCUGAUAUGAGUAUUGCUACUCCAGCUUUCUUUUGAUUUCCAUUGGCAUGGAAUAUCUUUUUCCAUUCCCUCACUUUCAGUCUGUAUGUAUCCCUAGGUCUGAAGUAGGUUUCUUGUAGACAGCAUAUAUAUGGGUCUUGUUUUUGUAUCCAUUGAGCAAGCCUGUGUCUUUUGGUUGGAGCAUUUAAUCCAUUCAUGCUUAAGGUAAUUAUCGAUAUGUGUGUUCCUAUUACCAUGUUCUUAAUUGUUAUGGGUUUGUUUUUGUAGGUCCUUUUCUUCUCUUGUGUUUCCCAUUUAGAGAAGUUCCUUUAGCAUUUGUUGUAGAGCUGGUUUGGUGGUGCUGAAUUCUCUUAGGUUUUGCUUAUCUGUAAAGCUUUUGAGUUUUCUGUUGAAUCUGAAUGAGAUCCUUUCUGGUAGAGUAAUCUUGGUUGUAGGUUCUUCCCUUUCAUCACUUUAAGUAUAUCAUGCCACUCCCUUCUGGCUUGUAGAGUUUCUGCUGAGAAAUCAGCUAUUAACCUUAUGGGAGUUCCCUUGUAUGUUAUUUGUCGUGUUUCCCUUGUUGCUUUCAAUAAUUUUUCUUUGUCUUUAAUUUUUGUCAAUUUGAUUACUAUGUGUCUCGGUGUGUUUCUCCUUGGGUUUAUCCUGCCUGGGACUCUCUGUGCUUCCUGGACUUGGGUGGCUAUUUCCUUUCCCAUGUUAGGGAAGUUUUCGACUAUAAUCUCUGCAAAUAUUUUCUCGGGUCCUUUCUCUCUCUCUUCUCCUUCUGGGACCCCUAUAAUACGAAUGUUGUUACAUUUAAUGUUGUCCCAGAGGUCUCUUAGGCUGUCUUCAUUUUUUUCAUUCUUUUUUCUUUAUUCUGUUCUGUGGCAGUGAAUUCCACCAUUCUGUCUUCCAGGUCACUUAUCCAUUCUUCUGCCUCAGUUAUUCUCCUAUUGAUUCCCUCUAGUGUAUUUUUCAUUUCAGUUAUUGUAUUGUUCAUCUCUGUUUGUUUGUUCUUUAAUUCUUCUAGGCCUUUGUUAAACAUUUCUUGCAUCUUCUUGAUCUUUGCCUCCAUUCUUUUUACAAGGUCCUGUAUCAUCUUCACUAUCAUUAUUCUGAAUUCUUUUUCUGGAAGGUUGCCUAUCUCCACUUCAUUUAGUUGUUUUUCUGGGGUUUUAUCUUGUUCCUCAUCUGUUACAUAGCCCUCUGCCUUUUCAUCUUGAGUGUCUUUCUGUGAUUGCAGUUUUUGUUCCACAGGCUGCAGGAUUGUAGUUCUUGCUUCUGUGUCUGCCCUCUGGUGGAUGAGGCUAUCUGAGAGGCUUGCGCAAAUUUCCUGAUGGGAGGUACUGGUGGUGGGUAGAGCUGGGUGUUGCUCUGGUGGGCAGAGCUCAUUAAAACUUUAAUCUGCUUGGCUGUUGAUGGGUUGGACUGGGUCCCCUCCCUGAGGCGACCCAACACUGGAGCCUACCUGGCUCUUUGGUGGGGCUAAUGGAGGGCUCUCGGAGGGCUCACACCAAGGAGUACAUCCCAGAACUUCUGCCAUCAGUGUCCUUGUCCUCACGGUGAGCCAGCUGCCCCCCGCCUCUGCAGGAGACCCUCCAACACUAGCAGCCUUUAUUACAUUAUGGCCAAUUUCUUCAGAUACAUCUUCCAGUUCAUUAAUUCUCCACAGCUUUCAAAGGUAUCUAAUUGACUAUUUAAUACAUUUGCAUAGUCACCCUACUGGUCUCAGGUUUGAUUUGACAAUCAGCUCAUAGAACACUACAGGUUUAACCCAACUUCUACUUAAUUUAGCUUUGUAAAGAGUA